UCCUUAGUCCCCCGGCGUCAACUCCCUGCUGGGCUCGGCGAGGCUGGGCUGCGCGCUCUCAUUGGGUGUAGCCAACCCAGAGAAGUCGCCGGCCUCUUCUUCCAGUGGGGAGUCCAUCUGACCCAAGACAGUGGGAGGCCAAGGACCGAGUGCAGAGCUGGUGCACCUCGGGGACGCUGAGUCCCAUGCUGGCCCUGCACUCACAAUAUAGCCCAGACUGACCUUGAACUCAUAGCAAUCCUCCUGCUUCAGCCUCUCAAGUGCUGGGAUUACAGAUGGUUCCCAGGUGCUGCCAGUGAAGUGUCCCCAGGAUACAUGAAGGAUCUCAGAGUACUAAGAAUUGAACUCAGGACCUUGUGCUUGCCGGGCAGGUGCAGCACCACUGAGCUACAUCCCCCCGGCUGAUCCUUCUAUUACAGACAGCCGAAUUAGUUAAAACUAUUAUAAGCAGACAGAUAGGGCGAGGUCCUUGAGAGUCAGGACAAAGGUAAAACACAACACAACUGCGUCCGGAGACACAUCUGUUGGAAGGCAGGCCUCAAGAUAAAGACAAGAUGACCAGACCUGUAUACUUCCCCAAAGGACAAACACCGGGCCUAAUGAAGUCCAGAUAGACAUCAGCCACCCAGAGACCUCUGGACCCACCAUUUCCUAGGAGGAGUCUUUGUUCUUUCCAUCCAUGCCUGUUACAUGACUUGUUUCCCAAUGGUUUGGACCACCAUUACCUGAGUGGCUGUACUUGUAACCUCAUUGGUUGAUCAUGGCUGUGGCCCAUGUUAUACCCACGUGGGUUUUACUCCAUAAAACUACCCUGUAGAGUGGGGUCCCUGGCUACACAUUCAGGACCCCUCCUGCUUCUCAGGAGCUAUCCUCUCAAUAAAU
rnacentral:lncRNA from 1 species